rnacentral:lncRNA from 1 species
GGGAAUACACAGGAAUUUGACAAACCCAAGCCCAACAUUCUUCUGACCCACAUGGGAUUACAAAACAAUGCGGAAAAACUACCAGUAAAUGCCUGCCCAUUAUUUGGGGGCAUUGUGCCAUCCAAAUAAAGUCAGGAGGUUAAAUGGCUACCAGAGCAUCACAUCAUCGAGAACAUCGUGUCUGCUUGGUUUGGGCUCAAUCCCAGAUUAGGAGACUCUAAACCACGGUCUAUACUUAGUUUAAAUUAGCCAGGGCAAAACAUCUGUAUCAGCAUUAAUAUAAGCCCAACUUCAAUGUCUCAGGGCUUAUGGAAAAUAUUUGCAUUUUUCUUUCCUCAAGAGACUGCCUUAUUUCAUAUAUGUAUGUGUGUGUAUGUGUGUUUAUAUAUAAUUUUAUAUGUAUAUGUGUGUAUGUAUAUAUACACGUAUAUGUGUAAAUAUACGUAUAUAUACACGUAUACACAUACAUAUACGUGUAUACGUGUAUAUAUACAUAUAUACAUAUAUGCAUACAUAUAUAUAUACGGGCAAAGACUUAAUAUACUAUCCACAGGCUAUUCAGAUUGUUCAAGAGGCUCUCAGUUGAAGAAGCAAACAGACAAACAAAACGGUUUCAUACACAGGCAGGCAU